GAUUCCCAUUUGCCUCUCCACCCUUUGAUGCCGGCUGUCAAAAGAAACCAUCGUUACACACUGAGCCCUCCUCAAACUGCCAAGCUCAGCCAUCAAGGACACAUUCACCCGCCUCGCCUACAGAUUCAACUACAGCCUCCAAGAACUCCUGAAGCCUCCUUGACUUGAAGACACACCGCUCUACAUUAUUGUGCUUUUUAAUAAAGCCGUUUAAACUGG